UAUGAUUAUAACCACGUAUCAUGACUAAGCACUUUGUUCGUUCUGGGUGAUCAGAGCCUGUAAAUUGAUUAUUGCAGUGAAACAUGAGUGCUCCCGGCCAUUAAUUAGUUGAUACAUCACAGGGGUCUAUCAGUUAUUCCCUUCAUUUAGACACAGGGCGUUAUAACAGUUGUUUUAUUCAGCCUCUAAACCUUCUCUCCUGGCUGUGGAUGUCUGAAUAACUCCUGUUUGUCAUGUGUAGGGUAUCUUUGUUUGUGGGUUUCCACGACAACCGGUGGGAACAACUGCUUGAAUGAUCUGCAUGCUCUUUGUCUGGUGACGGACACAUGGUUGACUUGAUCAAUACAUCCGAGUCUGCAUCACCUGGCUGAUGGUGGUGGAUAAGUCUGACCGCGGUGAUGAUGACUGAGGCCGUGCCAGCUGCCGGACCUGUGCAGGUGACACGGGAGUGACAGGUUGUUCUGGGGUGGAUGGAUGCACCGGAGUGUUCUGUCUCACACUGUGGGUGUUCAAUAUGCUCCGCACCAAGACCUGCCACAUACAAUGAAAAUAAACACCCCGAAUGAUCAUGUCAACACAAGACAGGACUUCUCCUGUUCAUGGAGGGAGAUCCCGGCAAUCCCAGCAUGCAAUGGCUGUCCUCGAGCCAGACUGAAACAUGCGGCGUGCAUCCAUGGCGGCCAUGUCUAUAUCUGCAGUGGGAAAGACAACACACUACCUCUAAAGGAUUUCUGGCGGUACCACAUAGGAAGUGGCACCUGGGAACGUCUGACGUAUCGGGGAACAUCACUGCCACAUCUUCAGGGCCACACCAUCGUCUCUCACAAGAGGAAGCUGUUGAUAUUUGGUGGAGAAUUCAGCACAGGGACCGAUCCACCAUUGUGGAUUUUUAACAUAGAUCAGCAGUUUGUUCACAAGCCCUGCACUGAGGUGAACGUUCAACAGCCAACCAGUCGAAGGGACCACUCCGCAGUGAUGCAUUGUGGGAUUAUGUACAUAUAUGGAGGCUUCGUGGAUCUGAGGGGGUCCAGCAGUGAACUGUGGGCGUACAAUGCAGAUGAAGACUACUGGCAACUGAUUCCCCCAGCAUCGUCAGAGACACCUGGUGGUCGUCACGGCCACAGCAGCAUAAUGCACGGCAACAGCAUGUGGACGUUUGGGGGGCUGUGUGACCUCACUCUCAAAGCAGACCUGUGGAGCUACCAUUUCUUGAGUCAGAGGUGGCAGAGGAUGAAGACAGUGCAAGGCCCCCCUCCCAUGACGGGGCACUCCGCCGACGUUGUGAAGGACAGCAUGGUGCUGGUGGGUGGAGAGAACCAGGGACAGAUGUACAGUGACGUCUGGCUCUUCUGCUUCAAUUCAAGUGUUUGGAGAAAGAUUGCUUUCCCAAGCAGCCCUCAUCAUCCACUACCUAGUUCCCAGCAUGCAACAGUGUGUGUAACCAGUAGCAACAGUCAAGAAGCAGGGGCAGAUAACUCUGCCAGAUGUUUCUCUGAAUCAGUAUUACAGAGCCCAAACCCUAAUGCAAGUGUAAUCAAUGCCGGUCGUCCACGAACAAGCCCUUCAGCGUCAACAGACACUCCACAGACGUCAUGGGUGUACCCUGCGAAGUCUGCCAGCAGAAACUGUGAUAUUCUCUCCCUAGAGUUCAGUAGUGUAAAUAGUGCAGAGAUGACCAAGGUCAGAGGUCAUGAUCAUGCUCCGAGGUCACAGGUCAUGACAGGUGACGACAAACGACCCUUGCUGAGAUUUGUGUCUCGAGAUUCGAACGAAUCUAUUGGAAUUGACAAUGUAGUGGACUGUACUGCAGAUGAAUCUCAUGCUCCUGUAAGUAAAAAGUGCUCUGACUCAACGGCCAAACCCCUUAAUGCCAAAGAACAAUCUUCUGUUGUACAUACUCAUCAUGCUGACGACCUUGUCAGGGAACCUCAUGUCCAGAAUCAAGGCAGUGAAAUCAGGGAUAGGAAAUCUGCUGUUGUUCUUCAUGGAAGCUCGCAGGUCGACAGCUCGAAAUCACACAAAACCAUCCUGACGACACCAACCAUUCCAAAUCGUUAUCAAACCACCCAACCCAAUUGUCAAACCACCCAUCCCCAGAUGACCUCGACACUGGCCCACACCAGUCCGGCCAACCGUGAUACAACCAUAGACCCUCCUAAGAAGGCUAUCUACUCCAAGUACUGUGAUGAUUUGUAUAUUGAAGACAUUGAACAAGAACAGUUGUCACCUGUCAAGGUGCCCAAUCCCUUCAUCCUGACCAAGGAAUCCACGCAGGUGAUAAUGCAAGACUGCAUGGAACUUGAAUUGUUUCACAUGCCAAAAAUUGGCAGCUCAAUUGAAGGUCAGAGGUCAAGGUCGGGACACGACCUCUGCACCACCUUCCUGUCAGACACUGGUGAUUUCCGUAGUCCAAGGUCAAGAGAUUCAGGGUCUGCUCUAUGCUCAGGUGCGGAUGUGAAUAGUUCUCAGAAUGCUAGUACAAGGUACAAGGUACAAGGUCAAGAUGGAGGAUUUAAUAAAGUUCUUGUAACUGUGGCAACUCAGACAGGAAGUAACCUUGACCUUCGACCUAGCAAUCCGGGAGAGAGGAUAGCUUCUAUUCAAGAAGAAGGAAAGGACUCGUUGGAUGCUGAGCCCUUCCUGUUGGUGUUUGGUGGGAAAGCCAGGAAAAGACAACUCUGUCAACAGCCAAUCAGUGUGUGGCGAUGUGAGCUCACAGUUUAACAGGCUAAACAUGGACAUCACAUAGGGCUUGGUUGACUUGCUGUGAUUAUGUUCUAACCAUCGGUCAUACCAGUGCAUUUAUUGAGUCAUCUCAUUCCAUGGCCAGUGCAGGAUUAAACAAGGUUAUUUUUCAGUGGACAGAUUUCCUUGUAAUAGUCCUAAUGAAAGAAUCAUUCAUUAUAGAUUAGUCAAAUUUUCACAGGACAGGAAUUUUUUAACAGUAUUUAUUAUUUUUUUAUUCUGUGCGAUAAUAUCUUGUGCCUAUUGAUUCCUCUCAUGUGACACUGUUCAUACAUCGUCAGUGCAAGCCAGGAGGGCUGUCAUUGAUGGGAAAGUUUUGUGUCAGUAUAUAGAUUCACAAGUCUCACGACAUCUUGAUAUUAAUUAAAAAUAUUGUUAUUCUGUAUGUGUAUCUAGACCUUCAAUUAGUCACCUUAAUAUGAACAAGGCUGAUCCAAUAAAUAGAAUUUCUGCCUUAUUAUUACCAUGGUAAUCUAAAUAAAUAUAAACAUUUCUGUGGAAAUCAUUAAUUUACUAUUGGUAUUCAUGAAUUUGUAUCGAUAUCAUAUAUACAAUGACAUAUCGCAAUCAAGUCCAUCCAUUAUCGAAUGAAGUAGAUGGGACCAGUGUCCCAGUUGUCUAUGGUGUUGCAAUUCUCUGCGCAGAGUUGUCUCCCUUAGACAUGACAGGAUCCUAUGAUCAUGGAUUUGAAUCCCAGAUUAGCCCUGCCUGUGAUAAAACUGACAGCUCUGGUAGAUUUUUCUCUAUUUAUUAUAGAGAAAAGUAUUGUAUUCUUUUGUCAAUGUAUUCCCUGUCGAAUACAUCUUUCUAAAUCAUGACAAUUGUUGACAUCAAUCUGAAUACUGUUACAUUAUUCUUGACUUAGUUUCUAUGAUAUUAUACAAGGUGAAAAAGAACAUUCACAAGCCUUACCUCUGCAUAUGAUGUAUGUCUUAUGGUUUCAACAAAUUGGAGCUACAUAAUUUCUUGGCAGUGAAUUAAGCGAGACUGCGUUUUUCUGUGUGUGUGAUGUUACAGAUGACUGAAAUGUUUAUUUUUUAUUGUUCUGUGUUCAUGCACAUUGGUGGCUAUACAAUUUUCCUAGCUUUAUUUUAUCUUUAUAGCUUGGACAAGAAUGUAUUUUUUUAAUAAUUGUCUGUUUUGUUCUGGCAUAAUGCGUCGGCAUAAUUGUAAUCAGUUAUUUCUUUAAUGUUUUUCCUUUUUGUUCCUAGCAAGUUUAGUGUUGACUCAUGGAAUACUUUUUGUUACAUUAUGUACUCACUUUUCCUCUUGCCGUUAUUCAGACAUUAGAUGUUUCACUCUGAUACGAUACCUCUCUGUGUGAAUGAUUGUGGGUUCGAAUCAAGGUUCGCCCCGAUUAUGUUUCUAGACAAUAUGAUAGUGGCUUUACUUUUAUAGUUCACAUUUAAAGUCAAAUGUGCUUGUGAUGGACACGUCUGGCGUCCAGUUGUCCGUCCAUCAGCGUUUACAUUUCGACUUCCACUACAAGGCCCGUGGAGCUGAAACUUGGUAGCAAUGAUCCUAGUUAUGGUGGUUCUGAAAAGUGUGACUUUAUUUGCAGUAGGUAGGGGUAUGUGGAAUAACAUAUCAUACAACUUGGGGCAUAUUUCCAUUCCAGCUGUGGAGUCUCGGAACAUUUGCAUACACAAUUCCACACAAGUCUGACUUUAAACACGGCCGCCAUUAUUUCUUCAUAAUGAUCUACAGAACCUUGGUGUAAUUUUUAGCAACCAGAGCUCGCUGAUUAAAUUAGUUUUCAAGAUAUCAGUUAAUCUGGUCUGAAUGCUUCACUAACUCGUACUGAGAAUUUAGUAGGUCAGUACUGAUUGGCUGAUUCAAAGAUCGCAGAUCUUGAAGCUGAGAGGUAUCAUAUCUGUGUUGAAGAUCUAGUUUGAAUGAGAUUGACCUUUACCCAAGUGCAAUUAGUUGGAUAUUCCAGAAGACAGUUUAUGGGCAUUUGUACUGAAGUGUGUGGUAUGUGACAAGAUCUUUUAUGCAUUACCGAGUGAUAUGCAGAAACAUACUUGUCCAAGCUUCAGGGUCCUGUGAUAUUUUUCUAUGUGCCUAGUACUAUCUACUUAUGGGUUAAAAGAUCGGUGAAGCUAAUAUGGAUUUUGUCAUCGAAGUGUUUUUGUUAGCUGUGAGACCAGGGGCUUUCUUUAUGAAAACUGAUAAUACUUCAUGGAAUAAUGUUUUGAAUAUCUUGUAAUGAGUUUCGUUUAUGUAAGAAUAUAGGUUCACAGCAACCCAUGCUUGUCGUAAGUGCGACUAAAUUGAUCGGGUGGUCAGGUUCCAUGACUUGGUUGACUGUAUGUCAUCCAUCCCAAUUACAUGGAUCGUUGUUCACAAUAUAAAUCACUGAAUUGUCUGGUCCACUUGAUUAUUUACAGACUGCCAUCAUAAGCUGAAAUGUUGCUGUAUGCAGUGUUAAAACAACAAUCAAAACAAAAUAUUAAUUGUCCUGUUAUGCAACCUGCGUGAAAUAUUGCUGUCUGUAUGUUUAUAAUUCUGUUUUGGGGCAGUGGGAAGGGAGGGGGUGGGGAGAUUUAAGAAAAACUUAAUUAACUAAGUUUUUAAUCGUCUUCAUCGAUCUUUUGACAAGAACUCUUAAAUAACUGUUGACCAAAAAUAGCCCAUAUGUUCACAAUUGUAGCUGUGAAAUUGCAAUUCAGCUGUUUCCUAAAUGUAUGGCACAUGAAUUACAUGGAGAGGGCGAUAUAGACAGGUGUACCCUGCUGUUGAUGGUUUAUGUUGGAGCAGCCAUUUUGUUUCUUGUAAGACUCGUAGAAACUUUAUUUUCUUUGUUUGUAGCUGGUCCUACUUGAAGGAGACAGACAUGUUUACUCUGUCAGAUUUAUUCAGUUCCAAUUUGUAGUUAAAUUUGAAGCCUUGAGAACUGGUUCAGAAUUAUAGCCCGCAAAUGUUACUGGUCAGUGAGGGCUAUCAUCAUUUUUGGCUUGUCCUGAGCACAAUUUACUUGUCUCGGGAGACGUUAAACACAAACAACUGUGAUAAUAAUUGUUGUGUCUGUUGAUGAUAUUGAUUGUCAGACUCUGUCUUGUGAUAUUUGUUAAUUGUUUGCAGAUAUUCUGGAGAACCAACAAUAAUUACCUACCAGUGACUAAGGCAACUAUGCUUGUCGUAAAAGGCGACUAACGGGAUUGGGUGGUCAGGCUCGCUGACUUGGUUGAUGCAUGUCAUCGAUCCCAAUUGCGUGGAUCGAUGCCCAUGACAUCAAUCACUGGA